rnacentral:lncRNA from 1 species
UUGACACUUAGCGACAUAAAUAAGAUUUGACAGCUUAAACUCUUAGAAGUAUUUCCUUUAGCAAAUAUAUCUAAUUCUUUACUAUUGUUCACUUAGAAUUCUAUCUAACCAAAUAAUCGGAUUUCCCUAAUGGCCGUAAAAACAAGGUAUUAAGUAAUUAAAAAUAGUAACCCCAAAUUAUGUAAAAAUGUAAAUUAGAUAAAAAGAGAUCUAACCAAUAGAAACUGUUCUUAUAAAAAAUAUGUAUUCUAAAAGUCAUUUUGAUUGGUGAAUAAAACAAGUCCAACCAGCACGUGUUCUAGGGGUUUAAAAUAGGAAACCCUAAGGAAUCAAACAUUAAUUUACUGGUAUGGUUGGACUCGAAAUAAACAUAUAUAGACAUCUUUGUUUUAUUCACCAGGUUCGUUAACUUAUAAAUUUUGUUUAGUGAAAAAUUAAACGUAACCGUAGC